UUUGAUACUCCCACGGGAGCCUGUAAAUGUCAGGUGCUCCAGGGGCAUGAUGUUUGGUCAUUAUCUGCCAAGAUUUUGGUGGAGAUGAACAGCCAAUCAGCUGCCAUAAGGAUAGGUGGACAUGAUGCUGGAGCUAAAUCAGCCAUCUUACAACCAUGAGGCAACACGCCAAUCUGCUUAGGAAGGUAGAAGGAAAGGUGUGGUGAGGCUGACGGAUCAGGAGAGACCACCACUGAAAAGAUAGUUUGUUACUUACAGUUCCCAAGAGGAGGGGGCCUGCCAUGCCAUGCAGGGCCACAUGGGAAAGUGCCAGUGUCGGUCAGGAGGCAGAGGGAGCAAAGAGAAAAUGUGGACAAGAGCCUUUAACAUAGUUUCUGCAGGAAACGCAAGGCAAG